rnacentral:rRNA from 1 species
AUUGAACGCUGGCGGCAGGCCUAACACAUGCAAGUCGAACGAGUGGCGGACGGGUGAGUAAUGUCUGGGAAACGGCCCGAUGGCGGGGGAUAACUAAUGGAAACGGUAGCUAAUACCGCAUACCAUCGGAUGUGCCCAGAUGGGGUUAGCUAGUAGGUGGGGUAAUGGAUCACCUAGGCGACGAUCCCUAGAUGGUCUGAGAGGAUGACAAGGCACACUGGAACUGUGAAACGGUCCAGACUCCUAAGGGAGGCAGCAGUGGGGAAUAUUGCACAAUGGGCGAAAGCCUGAUGCAGCCAUGCCGCGUGUAUGAAGAAGGCCUUCGGGUUGUAAAGUACUGUCAGCGGGGAGGCGUUACCCGCAGAAGAAGCACCGGCUAACUCCGUGCCAGCAGCCGCGGUAAUUC